CGGCGAGNGAAGAGGGAAGAGCUCAAAUUUUGAAUCUGGCGUUUUUGGCGUCCGAAUUGUAAUCUANAGAAGUGUUUUCCGUGACGGACCGUGCAUAAGUCUCCUGGAAUGGAGCGUCAUGGAGGGUGAGAAUCCCGUAUAUGGCACCGGACUCCCGUCUGCUCUGUGAUACACUCUCGACGAGUCGAGUUGUUUGGGAAUGCAGCUCUAAACGGGUGGUAAAUGCCAUCUAAAGCUAAAUAUUGGCCAGAGACCGAUAGCGAACAAGUACCGUGAGGGAAAGAUGAAAAGCUCUUUGGAAAGAGAGUAAACAGAC
rnacentral:rRNA from 1 species